rnacentral:rRNA from 1 species
AGAGUUUGAUCCUGGCUCAGAAUCAACGCUGGCGGCGUGCUCAGACAUGCAAGUCGAACGAUUAAACUUUCCUUCGGGAAAGAUAUAAAGUGGCGCACGGGUGAGUAACACGUAAGUAAUCUACCUUUGGAUGGGGAAUAACAGUCGGAAACGACUGCUAAUACCGCAUAAUGCAGCGGCACCUAAUGGUGACAGUUGUUAAAGUAUUUAUACGUCUGAAGAGGAGCUUGCGGCAGAUUAGCUAGUUGGUAAGGUAAUGGCUUACCAAGGCUACGAUCUGUAGCCGACCUGAGAGGGUGGUCGGUCACACUGACACUGAAUAACGGGUCAGACUCCUACGGGAGGCAGCAGUCGGGAAUUUUGGGCAAUGGGCGAAAGCCUGACCCAGCAACGCCGCGUGAAGGAUGAAGUCUUUCGGGAUGUAAACUUCGUAAAAAUAGGAAGAAUAAAUGACGGUACUAUUUGUAAGGUCCGGCUAACUACGUGCCAGCAGCCGCGGUAAUACGUAGGGACCAAGCGUUGUUCGGAUUUACUGGGCGUAAAGGGCGCGUAGGCGGCGUGUCAAGUCAAUUGUGAAAUCUCCGAGCUUAACUCGGAACGGUCAAUUGAUACUGAUGUGCUAGAGUGCAGAAGGGGCAAUCGGAAUUCUUGGUGUAGCGGUGAAAUGCGUAGAUAUCAAGAGGAACACCUGAGGUGAAGACGGGUUGCUGGGCUGACACUGACGCUGAGGCGCGAAAGCUAGGGUAGCAAACGGGAUUAGAUACCCCGGUAGUCCUAGCCCUAAACGAUGAAUACUUGGUGUCUGGAGUUUUAAUUCUCCGGGUGCCGUCGCUAACGUUUUUAGU